rnacentral:rRNA from 1 species
CCCUUAGAUGUUCUGGGCCGCACGCGCGCUACACUGACGAAUGCAACGAGCUUAUAACCUUGGCCGAAAGGUCUGGGUAAUCUCCAAAUUUCGUCGUGAUGGGGAUAGAUUAUUGCAAUUAUUAAUCUUCAACGAGGAAUGCCUAGUAAGCGCAAGUCAUCAGCUUGCGUUGAUUACGUCCCUGCCCUUUGUACACACCGCCCGUCGCACCUACCGAUCGAAGGUAAUGAUGAGCCCUCAGGAUUGUGGCCUCGUCGCGUCAGCGUCUUGGCUGCGAGAAUCUGUGCAAAUCCCUACCUUUAGAGGAAGGUGAAGUCGUAACA